AACGAACGCUGGCGGCAGGCCUAACACAUGCAAGUCGAACGCUGCAGCAAUGCAGAGUGGCAGACGGGUGAGUAACGCGUGGGAACCUUCCCAAUGGUACGGAAUAGCCCAGGGAAACUUGGGGUAAUACCGUAUAAGCCCCAUGGGGGAAAGAUUUAUCGCCAUUGGAUGGGCCCGCGUCGGAUUAGCUAGUCGGUGAGGUAACGGCUCACCAAGGCGACGAUCCGUAGCUGGUUUGAGAGAAUGACCAGCCACACUGGAACUGAGACACGGCCCAGACUCCUACGGGAGGCAGCAGUGGGGAAUCUUGGACAAUGGGCGAAAGCCUGAUCCAGCCAUGCCGCGUGAGUGACGAAGGCCUUAGGGUUGUAAAGCUCUUUUGGCGGGGACGAUAAUGGCGGUACCCGCAGAAUAAGUCCCGGCUAACUUCGUGCCAGCCGCCGCCGUAA
rnacentral:rRNA from 1 species